ensembl:lncRNA
GAAAUCCUGAACAUGAGUACAGAUACUUAGUUAUCGUUAUUUUUUAAACGUUGUUGUUGGAGUUCUUAAGCAUGAUUCUUCAGCAGCCCUUUCUUGGAUAAAAAUCACAUGCCACUCUGGACUUCCAGGUGCUGUUGGAGCACUGGCAAAACAAAUAGUGCGUAAUGAAAAGAUUAUACAGAACAGGAAUGAUGCGCUGGAAAGUGAAACUACUAUGUUGAAGAAUAUUCAGCUUGCUAGAACACUACAAGUUUUCCCUGUAUAUGUUUACUGUAUAUUUUCAGGCAAGUAUACCUUUAUAAACUGUAGUUUUUCUUAGUUAUAUUCAUAUAUAUUUUGCUACAGGAGUAAA